GUGGGUCAGACAAAAUUGGUAAUGGUUGAGUACAGGCAGAGGACUUAUUAGAGCAAGUGAAAGGACUUAAAGUGGGAAGAGGUGAGAGAGGUGAAAGUGGUGGGAAUGGGUGAGAUGGGCGAGAUAAGAAUGAGGCAGGAGAGUGUCAGAUUGGGAAAUGGUUGGAGCACCUUAAGCCUUCUGCUGUCUGCUGUGGCUGCACUACGAGAGAAGAGGCGAGCGAGUGAGUGUCAUCAAAUGGAAUAGGUUGCACAGUGCAAAGAUCUGUGGACUUUGUAGUUGUUGAAGUGGGUUGGUCAAGUGAAGAGAGCAAAGCAGUGAGUGUAAGAGGGAGGGAUAGUGAGAGAGCACAGAGCUGCUGACAGCUGGCUUUCACCAGCGCCAGGAAACAGGAGUGCCGUGCUGCUGAUCUUCACCUGAAGUAACAUCUCAAAGAGGACACUGCCCUUUAGAUUUUUCAGGGAAUGGACCUAAAAAGUGCUGGAUUGAACACUUGAGGACUACGACAGCGGAAGUGGAAGGGACAGGGCUGAAGAAAGACUUAAAGUGCAUUAAGUGUUGCUGCCUCGUGGUGAU